rnacentral:rRNA from 1 species
GACGUAGGGCGCGAGCGUUGUCCGGAUUUAUUGGGCGUAAAGAGCUCGUAGGCGGCUUGUCGCGUCGUUCGUGAAAACCCGAGGCUCAACCUCGGGCCUGCAGUCGAUACGGGCAAACUAGAGUACUGCAGGGGAGACUGGAAUUCCUGGUGUAGCGGUGAAAUGCGCAGAUAUCAGGAGGAACACCGAUGGCGAAGGCAGGUCUCUGGGCCACUACUGACGCUGAGAAGCGAAAGCAUGGGGAGCGAACAGG